AGCUAAGGAGGGAAAGAGACUUCUCAGCCCCUCUGCAAAUCGACUUGGAGGUAUUAAUUGGACAACAAUAUGUUUAGUCAAAGAUUUUAAUACAUACACACACAAAAUCUUUUUCUUUGUAAUCCUUUCCUUUUAUGUAAAGGAUUACAGAGGGGAGGGUGGGGGGAAUUCCUGCCGGAGUUUCUUAAUAUUUGAUUCCAUUUUUCUUCAAGCUGCAAAUUAAACUGCCUUAAAAUGUACUUCCAGAAUAAAAUCCAAACCGGCCUUUUUUUUUUUUUUAAUCUCCCAGACGAUCAUGCACUGGACGUUAGCCUAUAGGUUGCAUCCCUCUAUUAGGAUUCUUGAUGAACCUUUCAAAGCUUCAAUAUUUCUUUCUUUCUCUCUUUCUUUCUCUCUCUCCCCCCAGACCUAUGAAACAUACAACAACUGCAUUUCUGGUGCAAAUAUUUCUUCCAAAGUAUCAUUCUGUAGGGCAUUUCAAUGCAUGUCCACUCUGCGAGCGUGUGUCCGUGUGUUUAAAGCCAAACAAACCCACAAACCUGGUGUGCCGAUCAGCUAAUGUCAAGGUCUUACUGAAGCCCGCUUUCCUCUCUGCGCCCGCGGACCAGCGGUCCAGCGCAGAAGCUCUGCCAGCCAGAAGCUCCUGCGAGGACGGAGCCAGCAUCCUAAAAUGUGUGCGCCUGUUCCCGCGGCUCGCCAACGCGGGUCACCGAGGCGCGGUGGUCGUCAGCCAGACCUCGGGAGCGGAUCCGGUGUUUGCCCAGCCUGGCCGGGGAUUCAGCGCUCCCCUAAGCCUGUUAGGGACACACUCUCAUGUCCUGAAAUGUGCAAGCAGAUAAUUGCUGGCGCUCUAGCUUUGUGUGAGGAGGCCAGGGUGUAAAUGGCUUUUAAUGACUGCAGCUGCUGGCUGCAAACUGUCAAUGGGAUCGGCUAAUGCCGAGCCCGGACCCGCCGAGCCGCAGCCGGGCGGGCGCAGCCGCCGGCCCCCACCGGCAGCGCGGAGCGGCGCGUGGGGCAGCGCGGAGCGGCGCGCGCAGCCGGGCGCGGAGCCGGGCGCGGCCAGCGGCAGCGGGAGCACGGCGGCGGACGGGGCUGGGCAGAGGCUGCCCUCUCGGCUGGGAAAAUCCUUUCCGGAUCCUAAUGGAGUGAAGACUCAUACAAAGAAAAUUCACUGUAUAAGCAUCCUGCCCAAGAAAGGAAGGUUCACCCUUACUCCAUCUACAGGAUCUAGCUUUCUGAAACUAAAAUUUCUCUUUGAGGACAGCUGGUCCAUGCCCCUGAGGAAAAAGAUGCUUAUGGCAAGGUUGAAAAGGAAAAAAAUCCCCACAAGGUCACAUGGGCAACUCUUCUUGCUGGAAGUGCUUUUACAGAUAUCUGAUCACGGGGAGGAAAAGUCUCGCAGCUUUUCAAGCCACGAGUUGUAAGGGGAAAGUGGCAGCUGAACAAAACCUGUUCUUUCAACCAAGCAGAAAAGCAACAGUAUAGAGACAGAGCUGGUAGUCCUUGUGCUGUAAAUCCACAUCAGUUCAACUAAGACCAAGCACUUGUGAAUAUUAUAUUCACACUACUGCAGCUGAGAGUAGAAAUGGGCCUUUCUUUUUGAACCCUUUGGAGUCCAAACUGAAAAAAAAAUACAAAAAGAGUAGCAGGGUUUAACCUUUACACUUUUCACUGACCUUUAAACAGUACUUUGCAUUAUAUCUGCCCUCAUUAAUCUGAAGCCACUUGCAAACCUAAAUGGCAUUCCUGUUUUUUUAAGUAUACCUCACAUACAUUAUAGAAUGGGUUAAGAAUUCAAAAGUUUGGCUCCUGUUCAUUAUGUCUUUAUCACCUUUUUAAGUGAUGUUCAUCUUUCUUUGUAAACAAAUUUUUAUAGUUAGCAGCAAUGCAAGCAAUGCUUUGCAUCAAAGUGCAUUACUUAGGUGAUGGCCAGAUGUAGAUCUAAAUUCUUGGAGGUGCAAACCUAGGCAUCGAUCAAGACACUAAAUUUUGCAGAAGUCCUGUAUUAAUGUAGAGCUCUAUGAGGACCAGAUAUUUUAAUACGAAUUUCCAGCACAGGUGAGUAGAAAAUCUUCCACCAAUACCUAAUCAGACCAUUAUUUUUUCUUCUUCAGCUUUUCUUUCUUUCACACUAUUCACAUCACUGCUUUGCAUGCACUUUGUCCUCACAUACCUGCCCACUACAUAUCUUCACUUUGGUCUAUUAAGUCUAAACUACAGGUGCAAAUGACAUAAAAUGAACCAACAAUUUCUCUUGGACAACAUUUCACUGCUCUCAUACUUGAAAGAAUUUAAUUAAACAUUAGAAACAUCUACUGCUUGGUAUAAAUAAAAUAGUCUAAAAUUGAUGAUUGGCAUUUCCCCUUUUAGUUCACACAAUGACUGCAAAAUGUCUUGCCAUUGACAUGGAAAUUUGUCUUCUAAGUAUGUCUAUCCUUAGUGGGAAAAUGUCAUAGGCAGAACAAAAAUUUAUGAGAGGAUGUACAUGUUUAAGAACUAACUGCUAUACCAUGCUCUAUGUUCAUCAUUCGGAUCAAGAAUUUUCCUGCUGGAAUGUUACAGCAACACUGAGAGACACUCAUGCACCAUUCCUUACAUUCAAGAUACUCUUUAGGCACAGAAAUACUGGGCUUAGAAAUAGCCAAAAUUUCAAACAAAUAAUUUUGCAUUGAAAUGUGAAAUUCUGAAAAUUACUGACACAACCUCGCACAGCAGAAGCACUCAGGCUGAGUCAGUGUGAGAAACACCAUUGUAGCUUUAGAAAACUAAAUGUGUGGGAUUAGUUUCCCUGCGUAGCUUUGCCAGGACCUGACAUUGUGAAGACAUUGAUUCGCGUAGGCUUUUAAAGAAAUAGAGAAUUCAUAAGCAGACAGCAGACACUGAAAGGUCUUGUGAUGUAGCUGGUAAAAAGCAUCUGUAUUUUAUGUUGGAUAUUUAUUUAUUGAAAAAUUUGGAAAGUGCUAUACAUUUUUUUAACGUGUCCUCAUCUCCUGCUGUUACAUUUUGGAGAAUGACUAAAUCUCUGGAGAGGGGUCAGAUCUAUAAAAAUUGUCAGUUGUUAAGACAGGGUAUUCAGUGAAUAAGUGAAUCAUUGUACUGAAGUCCUUUAUUGAAUAUUCCUGUGGCACUGCUUUAGUUAAGUAUCAAGAACACAAGCAUUUAACAAUAUCACUUUAAAUUCAAAAUGCCUUGAAAGGACUGAGAUUGAAUUUGCAAAUAUAAUCAAGAAUAAAACAAGUGCCUUGGAUUACAUGUCACUUUUUGGGAUGUUUUGACAUAACACAUUUAGAAAAUACUUUCCUGUGACUGAAAUGAUUAAAACAGACUUCAGUUAUCUAUGACUUAAAACAGAGCAAGUCCAGUUCUUAGUUAAUUUGUUCUCUGCAUCACAGUCAGCACUAGCUGACAUGCUCACUUGUAUAUCAGUGUGGAGGCCAACUGCUUAAGGCUAAAGUGCUAUUGUGUUCCUGUGUGAGUAAUCCUAUUAGCAGCAAGAGAAUAUAGGCAUGGAUAAAUUGUAGAAUGGUCAGAAGUGAGAAAAUAACCUAACUUCCUUCUUAUUUCUAGAGAGGAACUGUGCAGGUAUUUUAGACAGACCUCUUGUGUGAUGGUACCAGUAUCUUCACAGCCUCCAUCCUUUUACCUCCUCUCAGGGGUACCAAAAUCACACCAGCUUUUCAGUAUGUAUUCAGAUAGGCACACUCAGAAAAGUACUGGGUACAUACUCAAAUCCAUUUGAUAACCUGUCCUCUUCAUUUCCAAAAUACUGGUACCAAAAUAACAAAUAUGAGGAUACACAGGCAGUUACUUUUCUUUUUAUCUAGGACCAAAAAGUAUUUAUUCAAGAAAUUCAGUAUAAAUUAGGACCACAGAGCACUGUUCCCAAAGAGCGACCAUAUGCAUAAUGGAAAAUAUACACCAGAAGUUUAGUAUUAAAUCUACUUUUAUUAAAUUUAUUGUUUAGAUAAUUACAGCUUUUCAGUAUUAAAUUUUAGUAUUAAAUGUAGUGUUAAAUUAAAAAAAUUAGGUUUUAAUCCAAGUAAACAAAUCUUACCACUGACUCAGGCUCAAAUUUGCUACUUAUGUUUGUGAGACUUGCAGAUAUCUGAGAAUGGCAGCGUUGGGUUUACUAACAAAAUGCCACAUUUAAACUUAUCCAGCAGGGCAGGUAAGACUGCUUGUUAACAGUAACUUUCUCAGAACAGCAUGGUUAGUUCACUGAUCAAUUCACCUGCGCAUUCAUCUAGGCGAGGCAAAUACCAGAAGCAAAAAAAGAUUACUUUUUGCAAUGCACCUGUUCUUAGUUCAUGAUGGGACGAUUGCAAAGAUAGUGAGGGAUAGCGAUAGAGCAUCCAUCAAAAACCUGUUGUUUCAUGCUUCGUGAGACAUUUGGUGUACCAGGAAUGGGACAGAGAAGGAAUUUGGUAGUUGUGGUUAUGGAAUUCAGAACCUGGUUAUAUAGCCCGAUGAUGACAUGGGCCUGUUGUCACUUGGCAGUGAUUAUGUAUUCACUCUCUUAAUUAAUAAUUAUGGAUGGGUUGACAGUACAUGAAGUUGCACCCUAUCUGAAAAGAAAAUGAAUAGUGACAUGUCAAGGACUCAGCUAAAAGGUGUUUUGAUUUCUCUCUCCUUAGUGCUGGAUCUCACUGUUGAUCUGUUAUAGUUUUAGCUUCAUCAGAUGAAACAGUAAGAUGGCCAAUGGCAGGUUCUCCUUCCCACAGCAUCCUAGGACUGGUACCAGCUGCACAAGAUGACUGAUGAGAGUAUCUAGCUGUCUGGAGCCACACUCUUUCUUCUUGCCACCUGACAGAUGGCAGAAGGUGGGUGGCUUUGGCAAAAUUAAUUAGAGAUGCAUUGAAGAAACAAUAACAAUGAACACCCUCCAGCAAAAAUAUGAUGUUAUUUGGCACAAAGGACCUUUGUGCGAAAGCAUUGCAGCAGCAGAAAUAUCCUGACUACCCUAAAGAAGAGGUCACCCAAUAGAAAACAAUUCUUGGCAAAAGGGGAGCAGCAUGGCCACAAGGUGUGGUCAUUAUCGCCAUUACCACUUCUGACACAUAACAGCUGACUCAUUCAGUUAUUUUCACUGACAUAGCUGAUUGCGGCACCUUCACUCCCCCUUGCUGUCCCCAAUUCUGCCGAUUGCCUCACUGUGCCAAAUAUGUCCAGUCCACCACUCUUUCUCAUGGAGAGUAUUUAUUUGGUGGGAGAAUAUCUCACACUACAAAAUAUCCUUACUGGUUUCAGUGCCAUUGAAGGAGUAAGGUAUUUGUCAAUGUAAGAACACAGUCCAGAGGAGACAGCUGAAAAAUACGGGUACUUCACUGUGAAGAUUAAAGAACAAUGUCCUGUUAUCUGUUAUUUGACUUAGUGUUUGACAAAUGGCUUUGAGAAUGGUAAAAGUAAUAAGCCACAUCACAGAAAUUAGCUUUUCCACUUUCCCACCCAUCACUACAUAUUCUCAUCUCACAAAAUUUUCCAUAUUCUGGGAAUCUUGAAUCCCACAGAGCUCCCUGGUGAUGACUGGAUAAACCAGGGAUGUUGGAUAUAUGAGGAAGAAAAGGAAUUGCUGGCGUCAAAAAGGGCAGUUAAGAGAAUCAAGGCUUGAAGUAUGAGGAAAGAAGUCCCACCAUGUGGGAAGGUUCCAUCAUGUGGGAAAGAAGCUCCACUAUGGUGUCCCAACAUGUGUUUCUCUGCAGGUGUCAUCGGUGACUGGCAGGAGAUAGGAUGGCUGCUUCAUCUCUGCUAUGACCAUGCUAAUACAUCUAAGUGCUGUGGUUGCUCCCUCUUUGCAGAAUUCACGGGACUGAAGAGCAAAAUUCAACACAGCUCUCCAAGAUAGUGACUACAAUGCUCGGUGUCCUGUGUUUUGCUGUUGUUGCCUCUACGGGCAUUUGCAGCAAGCCUAGAGCUAUUCACCCCUUGCAUGCAAUUGACCAGCGAGGCAGAUGAGCCAGGAGGAGUAUGAUUCAGCCUGGUGCACCUCAACCCAUUUGGGCAAAUCUCCCCAUCUUAUCAUGAAGUCCAAAUCACCUUGCUGAACAGCCCAAGAGGAGAUAUGGCAUAUUCCCUACCACCUAACUCUGCUGGGAAUAGCAGUGCAGUGUCUAUCCAUAAACCAGUCUCAUACAUAAGUAAGCCUGCUUUCACAGAAAACUUGACACCAACUCCACUUACUGCAGUGGAAUAGACUUUCACUGGGUUCGGUGACUUUGGUUCACGCACAGAUUACAUCUGGUUGCCUCCAUUUUUAGUGAAAGAGGGAUGGAUGUGGUAAGGAGAGAAAUGAUACGCAUAUGCAGUUACUCUAGCUCUAGUAAGCCUGCAUAAAGAGAUGUGAGUAGUGAGGAAAGGGUUGAGACCCUGCAAGGAAGCUGAACAGGAAGAAGGUGUUGGAUGGGAAAGUGGAUGGAUGAGAAAGUGAACACAACACAGGGAGGGAAAUUGAUAGAGACAGAAAAUGGAAGCAAAAAAGACAUAAGAACUAUAUCAAGAAAUAAUGUGGAAAGAAGAAGAAAAAGCAAAGGGCAAGAAAGACUAAUUGCAUAUUUCAUUGCCUGAAACAGUGUUUGUAGCUGCAAUAUGACAGUACAAAUCAGGCUUGAUUUCAUAGAUAAACACGGCAUGUUCAUCAUUGGGAAAAGCAUGAGGGAAAUAAGGAAGAAAGAAUAAAUGGCCAGUUUUCUCAAGGAAAAGAGGUUACUGCUGGAAACUCACAGGAAUCUGGACUGACAUCUAUAUUAACAUAGAAUUACUCAAGAUAGAAAAACUAAAACUU